rnacentral:miRNA from 1 species
AGGCACGUCACCCCCUCUCCGUUUGGUCGAUGUGGGAUCUCACAGCGAGUGUGCCGACGAGGACGUCGGAUCCCUUAAGGAGGGUGGAUUGUGAGAUCCCACAUCGACCAAACGGAGAGAGGGUGACGUGCCU